UACGGGGGGGGCAAGCGUUUGUUCGGAAUUACUGGGCGUAAAGGGCUCGUAGGCGGCCAACUAAGUCGGAUGUGAAAUCCCCAGGCUCAACUUGGGAACUGCAUCCGAUACUGGAUGGCUUGAAUCCGGGAGAGGGAUGCAGAAUUCCAGGUGUAGCGGUGAAAUGCGUAGAUAUCUGGAGGAAUACCGGUGGCGAAGGCGGCAUCCUGGACCGGCAUUGACGCUGAGGCGCGAAAGCCAGGGGAGCAAACGGG
rnacentral:rRNA from 1 species